UACAGAGGUCUCAAGCGUUGUUCGGAUUCAUUGGGCGUAAAGGGUGCGUAGGCGGCGCGGUAAGUCGGGUGUGAAAUCUUGGAGCUUAACUCCGAAACUGCAUUCGAUACUGCCGUGCUUGAGGACUGGAGAGGAGACUGGAAUUUACGGUGUAGCAGUGAAAUGCGUAGAGAUCGUAAGGAAGACCAGUGGCGAAGGCGGGUCUCUGGACAGUUCCUGACACUGAGGCACGAAGGCCCAGGGGAGCAAACGGGGA
rnacentral:rRNA from 1 species